UACAGGAGGUGGCAAGCGUUUGUUCGGAAUUACUGGGCGUAAAGGGCGCGUAGGCGGUCUUCUAAGUCUUGUGUGAAAUCCCUCGGCUCAACUGAGGAACUGCACGGGAUACUGGAAGACUUGAGUUCGGGAGAGGGAAGCGGAAUUCCGGGUGUAGCGGUGAAAUGCGUAGAUAUCCGGAGGAACACCGGUGGCGAAGGCGGCUUCCUGGACCGAUUACUGACGCUGAUGCGCGAAAGCUAGGGGAGCAAACGGG
rnacentral:rRNA from 1 species